CGCCCCCCUCCCCGGGGGGGUGGCCAGCGCCCGCCAGAGGACCAUCAAACUCCAGUCAGUAAACGAUGCAGUCUGAAAAACAUUUAAUAAACUAAAACUUUCAACAACGGAUCUCUUGGUUCUGGCAUCGAUGAAGAACGCAGCGAAAUGCGAUAAGUAAUGUGAAUUGCAGAAUUCAGUGAAUCAUCGAAUCUUUGAACGCACAUUGCGCCCUUUGGUAUUCCGAAGGGCAUGCCUGUUCGAGCGUCAUUACAACCCUCAAGCUCUGCUUGGUAUUGGGCACCGUCCUUUGCGGGCGCGCCUCAAAGACCUCGGCGGUGGCGUCUUGCCUCAAGCGUAGUAGAACAUACAUCUCGCUUCGGAGCGCAGGGCGUCGCCCGCCGGACGAACCUUCUGAACUUUUCUCAAGGUGACCUCGGAUCAGUAGGACCCACUCCC
rnacentral:rRNA from 1 species